GCUUUGAUAGUUUAUAAAAACACUGGUCUUGUAAUCCAGAAAUGGAAUCUAUCUCUUCCUCAAGGCU
rnacentral:tRNA from 1 species